rnacentral:rRNA from 1 species
AAGCCGCGUCGAAGGCCGCGGCGAACCGCGAGGUGUGGUGCCCGACGCCGGGCCUCGUCCAGCAACUGCGCGACUUCGAGCGGCGCGUCGCCGAACGCGCCGCGCGCGUC